rnacentral:rRNA from 1 species
UACGGAGGGAGCUAGCGUUGUUCGGAAUUACUGGGCGUAAAGGGCGCGUAGGCGGAUGGCAUAGUCAGAUGUGAAAUUCCCGGGCUCAACCUGGGAACUGCAUCUGUGACUGCAUCGCUGGAGUGCGGUCAGAGGGGGAUGGAAUUCCGCGUGUAGCAGUGAAAUGCGUAGAUAUGCGGAGGAACACCGAUGGCGAAGGCAAUCCCCUGGACCUGUACUGACGCUGCAUGCACGAAAGGCGUGGGGAGCAAACGAGG